rnacentral:rRNA from 1 species
GGACGAACGCUGGCGGCGUGCUUAACACAUGCAAGUCGAACGGAAAGGCCCUGCUUUUGUGGGGUGCUCGAGUGGCGAACGGGUGAGUAACACGUGAGUAACCUGCCCUUGACUUUGGGAUAACUUCAGGAAACUGGGGCUAAUACCGGAUAGGAGCUCCUGCUGCAUGGUGGGGGUUGGAAAGUUUCGGCGGUGGGGGAUGGACUCGCGGCUUAUCAGCUUGUUGGUGGGGUAGGGGCUUACCAAGCUUUUGACGGGUAGCCGCCCGGAGAGGGUGACCGGCCACAGUGGGAAGGAGACACGCCCGACACUCCUCCGGGGGGACGCAGGGGGGAAUAUGGCACAGGGGGGGGAGGCCUGACGCAGCAACCCCGGGGGGGGGAGGACGGCCUUGGGGUGUGAAACCGUUUUCGCCUGUGACGAAGGGGGGGUGACGGGAAGGGAUAAAGAAACACCGGCAAACUAGGUC